ACGAACGCUGGCGGCAUGCCUAACACAUGCAAGUCGCACGAGACCUUCGGGUCUAGUGGCGCACGGGUGCGUAACGCGUGGGAACCUGCCCUUAGGUUCGGAAUAACUCCCCGAAAGGGGUGCUAAUACCGGAUAAUGUCUUCGGACCAAAGAUUUAUCGCCUUUGGAUGGGCCCGCGUUGGAUUAGCUAGUUGGUAGGGUAAAAGCCUACCAAGGCGACGAUCCAUAGCUGGUCUGAGAGGAUAAUCAGCCACACUGGGACUGAGACACGGCCCAGACUCCUACGGGAGGCAGCAGUGGGGAAUAUUGGACAAUGGGCGAAAGCCUGAUCCAGCAAUGCCGCGUGAGUGAUGAAGGCCUUAGGGUUGUAAAGCUCUUUUACCCGGGAUGAUAAUGACAGUACCGGGAGAAUAAGCUCCGGCUAACUCCGUG
rnacentral:rRNA from 1 species